GCUCUCGGGUGACGAGCGGCGGACGGGUGAGUAAUGUCUGGGAAACUGCCUGAUGGAGGGGGAUAACUACUGGAAACGGUAGCUAAUACCGCAUAACGUCGCAAGACCAAAGUGGGGGACCUUCGGGCCUCAUGCCAUCAGAUGUGCCCAGAUGGGAUUAGCUAGUAGGUGGGGUAAUGGCUCACCUAGGCGACGAUCCCUAGCUGGUCUGAGAGGAUGACCAGCCACACUGGAACUGAGACACGGUCCAGACUCCUACGGGAGGCAGCAGUGGGGAAUAUUGCACAAUGGGCGCAAGCCUGAUGCAGCCAUGCCGCGUGUGUGAAGAAGGCCUUCGGGUUGUAAAGCACUUUCAGCGGGGAGGAAGGCGUUAAGGUUAAUAACCUUGGCGAUUGACGUUACCCGCAGAAGAAGCACCGGCUAACUCCGUGCCAGCAGCCGCGGUAAUACGGAGGGUGCGAGCGUUAAUCGGAAUUACUGGGCGUAAAGCGCACGCAGGCGGUCUGUCAAGUCGGAUGUGAAAUCCCCGGGCUCAACCUGGGAACUGCAUUCGAAACUGGCAGGCUAGAGUCUUGUAGAGGGGGGUAGAAUUCCAGGUGUAGCGGUGAAAUGCGUAGAGAUCUGGAGGAAUACCGGUGGCGAAGGCGGCCCCCUGGACAAAGACUGACGCUCAGGUGCGAAAGCGUGGGGAGCAAACAGGAUUAGAUACCCUGGUAGUCCACGCCGUAAACGAUGUCGAUUUGGAGGUUGUGCCCUUGAGGCGUGGC
rnacentral:rRNA from 1 species